rnacentral:rRNA from 1 species
AACGAACGCUGGCGGCAUGCCUAACACAUGCAAGUCGAACGAGACCUUCGGGUCUAGUGGCGCACGGGUGCGUAACGCGUGGGAACCUGCCCUUAGGCUCGGAAUAACUCCCCGAAAGGGGUGCUAAUACCGGAUAAUGUCUUCGGACCAAAGAUUUAUCGCCUUUGGAUGGGCCCGCGUUGGAUUAGCUAGUUGGUAGGGUAAAAGCCUACCAAGGCGACGAUCCAUAGCUGGUCUGAGAGGAUGAUCAGCCACACUGGGACUGAGACACGGCCCAGACUCAUACGGGAGGCAGCAGUGGGGAAUAUUGGACAAUGGGCGAAAGCCUGAUCCAGCAAUGCCGCGUGAGUGAUGAAGGCCUUAGGGUUGUAAAGCUCUUUUACCCGGGAUGAUAAUGACAGUACCGGGAGAAGAAGCUCCGGCUAACUCCGUG